rnacentral:tRNA from 1 species
GCUGCUAUGGCCGAGUCGUUAAGGCGAGUGAUUUGAAUUUCAAAUUAUCACUUGGGAUUUUCCCGCGUAGGUUCAAAUCCUGCUGGCAGCG